UACGUAGGGUGCGAGCGUUAAUCGGAAUUACUGGGCGUAAAGCGUGCGCAGGCGGUUCGUUAAGUCGGGUGUGAAAGCCCCGGGCUCAACCUGGGAAUUGCAUUCGAGACUGCAUUGCUGGAGUACGGAAGAGGAAGGCGGAAUUCCCGGUGUAGCGGUGAAAUGCGUAGAUAUCGGGAGGAACAUCAGUGGCGAAGGCGGCCUUCUGGUCCAGUACUGACACUCAAGUGCGAAAGCGUGGGGAGCAAACAGG
rnacentral:rRNA from 1 species